rnacentral:rRNA from 1 species
UACCAGACUCCUACGGGAGGCAGCAGUGGGGGAUAUUGCACAAUGGGGGGAACCCUGAUGCAGCGACGCCGCGUGGGUGAAGGAGUGCUUCGGCAUGUAAAGCCCUAUCGGCAGGGAAGAAGCAAGACGGUACCUGACUAAGAAGCCCCGGCUAACUACGUGCCAGCAGCCGCGGUAAUACGGAGGAUGCGAGCGUUAUCCGGAUUUAUUGGGUUUAAAGGGUGCGUAGGCGGACUGGAAAGUCAGCGGUAAAAUCGGGAGGCUCAACCUCUUUCCGCCGUUGAAACUGUCGGUCUUGAGUGGGCGAGAAGUAUGCGGAAUGCGUGGUGUAGCGGUGAAAUGCAUAGGUAUCACGCAGAACUCCGAUUGCGAAGGCAGCAUACCGGCGCCCGACUGACGCUGAGGCACGAAAGCGUGGGUAUCGAACAGGAUUAGAUACCCUCGUAA